AUUGAACGCUGGCGGCAGGCCUAACACAUGCAAGUCGAACGAGUGGCGGACGGGUGAGUAAUGUCUGGGAAUCUGCCUUAUGGAGGGGGAUAACUACUGGAAACGGUAGCUAAUACCGCAUACCAUCAGAUGUGCCCAGGUGGGAUUAGGUAGUUGGUGGGGUAAAGGCUCACCAAGGCGACGAUCCCUAGCUGGUCUGAGAGGAUGACCAGCCACACUGGAACUGAGACACGGUCCAGACUCCUACGGGAGGCAGCAGUGGGGAAUAUUGCGCAAUGGGCGCAAGCCUGAUGCAGCCAUGCCGCGUGAAUGAAGAAGGCCUUCGGGUUGUAAAGUUCUUUCGGCAGGGAGGCGUUACCUACAGAAGAAGCACCGGCUAACUCCGUGCCAGCAGCCGCGGUAAUUC
rnacentral:rRNA from 1 species